AGUGAACGCUGGCGGCGUGCUUAACACAUGCAAGUCGAACGAGAACGGGCUAUAGCUUGCUAUAGUUGUCAGCUAAGUGGCGCACGGGUGAGUAAUGUAUAGGUAAUAUGCCUCUUACUAAGGGAUAACAAAUGGAAACGUUUGCUAAUACCUUAUACUCCUUACUAACAGAAGUUAAUAGGGAAAGAUUUAUUGGUAAGAGAUUAGCCUGUAUUGUAUCAGUUAGUUGGUGGGGUAAUGGCUUACCAAGACUAUGACACAUAACUGGUUUGAGAGGAUGAUCAGUCACACUGGAACUGAGACACGGUCCAGACUCCUACGGGAGGCAGCAGUGGGGAAUAUUGCACAAUGGACGAAAGUCUGAUGCAGCAACGCCGCGUGGAGGAUGACACAUUUCGGUGCGUAAACUCCUUUUAUAUGAGAAGAUAAUGACGGUAUUAUAUGAAUAAGCACCGGCUAACUCCGUGCCAGCCGCCGCCGUAA
rnacentral:rRNA from 1 species